rnacentral:tRNA from 1 species
GAGGGUAUAGCUCAGUGGUAGAGUGUGUGCCUAGCAUGCAUGAGGUCCUAGGUUCAAUCCCCAGUACCACCA